GUCUUUUUGCAUUAAAUAUAAAGUCUAACCUGCCCAUUGAAUUUUUUAAAAGGCUGCGGUAUUUUGACCGUACAAAGGUAGCAUAAUCAUUAGUUUUUUAAUUGAAAACUUGUAUGAAUGGUUGAAUGAGAAAUUAACUUUUUUAAUAGAAAAAUUGAAUUUUACUUUUUAGUUAAAAGGCUAAAAUAAAUUUAAAAGACGAGAAGACCCUAUAGAGUUUUAUAAUUAUAGACAUAUUUUUUUAUAGGGUUAUUUUUUAAUAUAUAGAUAAGAUUAUUUUAUUGGGGUGAUAAUAAAAUUUAAUAAACUUUUAUUUCUAUUGAACAUUAAUAUAUGAUUAAUUGAUCCAGUAUUAUUGAUUAAAAAUUUUAAUUACCUUAGGGAUAACAGCGUAAUUUUUUUUUAAGUUCUUAUUAAUAAAAGAUUUUGCGACCUCGAUGUUGGAUUAAGAUUAAAUUUUGGGUGCAGCAGCUUAAAUUUUAAGUCUGUUCGACUUUUAAAUUCUU
rnacentral:rRNA from 1 species